CUGUUGUUCCAGCACACGACUACUCCUGGUGUGCCUGUCUGUUUCUAUGACACCAUCCCUCGCUAUGCUGCCAGUAACAUCCAGUACCUGCGCACAGGCAUCACCACUGACCUGAUCUUCCUAGUGACCCCGACAUCUGCACAAGUUGCAGCAGCUCCACUGUCACCAGCAGCAGCCUCUGUUGUCUCUGGUCCUCUUUCUGUAGAGAUCAGUUCCCUCAAACUGAGUGUGGUCUACCACACAGAGAACAUGCUGCAGGUCAAGAUCUAUGAUUCCACUAAUAAAAGGUAUGAGGUCCCAGUACCUCUGAACACACCUCCCUCACCAGUUGACUCCCUCAAGAACUGCCUGUAUGAUGUCAGGAUUCAGACCACUCCUUUUGGAAUCCAGGUUCUUCGCAAAAGCUCCGGGACUGUGAUUUGGGAUUCUCAACUCCCUGGCUUCACCUUCAACGACAUGCUCCUUUCCAUUUCCACUCGCCUCCCCUCUCAGUACAUCUAUGGCUUUGGGGAAACUGAGCACAUGACGUUCAGAAGAAACAUGAGCUGGAAUAUGUGGGGGAUGUUUGCCCGUGAUGAGCCACCAGGGGUAAGAAUGGGAAUAAAAUUAGUAAUCAGUUUCUCCAUUGUGAAUUUAUAUUCUUUUGCCCACAAAUGAUGCCCUGUUCAUCAGCUUUACCUAGUGUUAAUAAAUUUCACUCUCGCUUGUAAGAGG
rnacentral:lncRNA from 1 species